CGUACACCAAGCAUUCCAGCAUGGCUUCUCCAUUACUGCAGUACGUCUGUACUAUCAUUUUCGUCCAUUGCAAUGCGUUGAAGGACUAACGUAGUUGACUUUUUAAAAAGGGGAGCUUCUGUUUCUUCGCUGCCCUAGGAGUGUUCAGGGGUUUCGUGUGAUGUUUGGCAUUGGGUGUGGAGUUUGCUGCUCCAUCUGUUAAGUGAUCCCGUCAUGGUUUUCCUGUUGGGUGUAUUCACUUGUGGGAUAAUUUUUGCAGGGAAUGCUUGGUUUGAGUCCAAUGGACUAUGCUGAGGUGGGCUCCUGUACCUUGGGUUUGCUGAUAUUGGCCGGUGGUGCUUUCGAUUGAGGAAUGUUGUGGCUAUCUUACAAGUUUCAGCAGUUGGAAAAUUGACUGUUGCUGAUUUCUGGACAGCUUUUGGCGUACAAUGGCGGUUGGUGGAAUGAUUCUUCGAGUGGAAGCGAGAAUCCAAGUUACAGUUCGGUGUGUUGGUGAUUGGACUUCCCUCCAGCUGAAAUGCUGCUUGCAGCUGUAGCUUGGAAUACUGGGACGUUUUGGCCGGCAAAGCUUGGAGGGGUGAAGUGGGGCUUCAAUCGUUUGUGAGAAUUGCGGCUGUCGGAGAGCUCCAGUGAUGGUGGAUGUCGCAUCGGUUCUGGACAUUGUCGAUGACCGUGCAGCACGUUGGUGUCGUAGACACAUUGAUAUUAGGUGCUGUGCAAGAAUCAGACAUUGUAUUCGAUGUUCGUUAGAUAUAACCUGGAAUUGCAAGGGCUGGCCUUCAAUUAGGAGAUUCGUAGGCAUUCGUGAGCCGUCCGAUUUUCUUCACGACCGGUUCUACCAUUCCUUCAGCAAUCGUCGGAGAAAUUUCAAUGUUGUGCAAGUUUCAACUUUUGCAUUGAAAUGUUGAAUACAAAAAGUUCCACAAA